GGUGCUGUGAUAAGAAACCAAGAAGCUCUCAAAUUUCGCGUCAAACUGUCGCAAUCAGGUGAAAACACUUAAUUCCAUCCUUUCCACGCUAUUUGCCAGUCUCUCCAGCAUUUCAUCGAUUUGCUCCUUGUUCAGCAGCUUUUCAUUCGCUUCAUUAGCUUUUUCCGUGUCGGCUGGUUUUGGUGCACUAAGUCUGGCGACAACAGCGUCCAGUUCAUCUCUUGAUAAAACACCUCCAACUCAUCAGGCUUGAAAUAUCGAGCUCCAGCAAGAAUUGUGUAUUGGUCCUUUUCAUCACUAGGCACUGAGUAGUAGUUACCCUUCCCGAAGGAUGUGGAUGAACGAGCUCAAGCGUUACUAUGGGCAUUAUUGCCAAUAUGGAUGUCCCCAUCACCACCAAAUGUUGGACCUUGAUCACCUGAGCACGUGCACUGAUUGCAUAUGAUGGAUUUUUCACCAUCCUCUUGUAUGGUGCCAGUCCUUGUUGAUAUGAGAGAAAACUCUUUGGAAGUGGAACUGUAUCCAGACCCGGCAUUUGAAGGAAAAGCGCAGGUGUGAAAAGAAAAGAAAGAAAAAAAACAAGGGAAUGAAGUGGAAACUUUAUGUGAGUGAACACAUUGCGAACAAUUAAAGCAGCAACACCAUAAAAAGCUAAACAGUUAAAAUUUCUUAUAUCUCUAACUAGUAAAAGUGGUGUAAUACAUGCAUAAGUUAAAGAAAUUUCCUUUAUCAAAGAACUAUGGUUGGUUUAGUAGAAACAUACAAAUCAUUUAAUUUUUCGUAAACAUCCUCAGCAAAAGUGAACCAUAUUUAUUUCUUUGUGGACUUGGAAACACCAAAAUUAAACACAUGCUCUCUAUGAUAAAAUUUUCUCACUCCAAGCAACGUCUGUAUAUCCUCCAAACACGAAUGGACUUCUUCUGAUAAUAGUAAUAGUGUAUGGUUUCCAAUCACAGAGAUCGUGAAAUGUACUUGCUUGCCCAUCCAUGCAAGGAGGCGCGGUAACAAAGCUUCCUAGACGAAUUGAUCCUAACCGCUGGCUCCAAAAAGUUCCUGAGUUAUGGUAGAAGAAGUCCUUGAUCUGGAUGAUGCUUGAAUGAAUUACCAUUUCUUUAAAACAAGUAUGGAGUAAAGUUAUCCUUAUACCGUUUUCAUCACAGUUGAACUUUCAACCGUAAACAUUAAUAUUAGCCUCCAAGGAAAUCGAAAACAGUUUUAGACCAGACAUUUAAUAGUAUUCACAACCGUGUAAUGAAAAUGUAAGGACACUGGCAAAUGGAACUGAGCAAACUAUUUUUGCAAAAUAGCAGAGUAACUGUGAAUUACUGUUUUCCACAAAAGCUUCAGCUAAAUUGGCUUUUAGUGUUUUAUUUGUUUGUACUGGCUGCUUAUGAAUGUCUUUUUUUACCUGGUUGUCGUUGGUUUUUAUCUUUUUGUCUCAAUCUGCUAUCCUGAAUCUUUUUAUCAUGUUUACCGGGUUUAAUGACAGCAGCUAGAUUGUUCUGCAGUUAAGGUACCAUUUAUCUAGAAGCGUCGUUCUCAAGAUCCAUUCAGCCAAUCACCAGGUUUACAACUGAAUGACAAUUUCUUUCCUUCCAAAAAUGAUUCUCAUGAAUGAAUCCUUGCUCAAGUUGUACGGCGGGGCAGACUCGGCGACCCUGAAUUUAAAUCAAGACGGGAUUUGGAAAAUACUGAUAAUUCCUUUUUUUCGUUAGGUAUAGAGAUGAAACAGUUGCACAGUUAUCAUUCCGACUAAGUAAUUUUGGACCCAAUGUGAUCUAAGCUAUCUAAUUAAACAAAUUGAAACUCAACUAUGAA
rnacentral:lncRNA from 1 species